rnacentral:rRNA from 1 species
AGAGUUUGAUCAUGGCUCAGGAUGAACGCUGGCGGUAUGCCUAACACAUGCAAGUCGAACGAUGUCUUCGGACAUAGUGGCGGACGGGUGAGUAACGCGUGAGAAUCUGCCUCUAGGAUGGGGAUAACGGUUGGAAACGACCGCUAACACCCAAUAUGCCGUAAGGUGAAAAAUUUAUUGCCUGGAGAGGAGCUCGCGUCUGAUUAGCUAGUUGGUGGGGUAAGAGCUCACCAAGGCCUCGAUCAGUAGCUGGUCUGAGAGGAUGAGCAGCCACACUGGGACUGAGACACGGCCCAGACUCCUACGGGAGGCAGCAGUGGGGAAUUUUCCGCAAUGGGCGAAAGCCUGACGGAGCAAUACCGCGUGAGGGAGGAAUGCCUUUGGGUUGUAAACCUCUUUUCUCAGGGAAGAAGAUCUGACGGUACCUGAGGAAUAAGUAUCGGCUAACUCCGUGCCAGCAGCCGCGGUAAUACGGAGGAUGCAAGCGUUAUCCGGAAUCAUUGGGCGUAAAGCGUCCGCAGGUGGUUUCCAAAGUCUGCUGUUAAAGACUGGAGCUCAACUCCGGAACGGCGGUGGAAACUUGGAAACUAGAGUUCGGUAGGGGUAGCAGGAAUUCCCAGUGUAGCGGUGAAAUGCGUAGAUAUUGGGAAGAACAUCGGUGGC